GCGGGUGUGGCGAAAUUGGCAGACGCACCAGAUUUAGGUUCUGGCGCCGCGAGGCGUGGGGGUUCAAGUCCCUCCACCCGCACCA
rnacentral:tRNA from 7 species